rnacentral:misc_RNA from 1 species
UCUUCUCCUGUUUCGUUUGAGGAAGUACCAAAGGAAGUCUGUUGACGACGACGGCAGCGCACUAGGCGGUACCGGCAACGUGAGCACAGCGCGCCGUGUGAGAAACCGCACAGAGGCGGCAGCCAACAGACUUUAGUCAGACCUGCGUGGCUGUCACGGCAGCCAUCAAAACGCACGCCCACAGAUACAGACACACGAAGCGCCGACCAUACGGCAUAGGACUCACAGACGGACACGAAGAGGGAGUGCAACCAUUGUCACGUUGCCUUCCUUUCAGGUUGUCCGUUUGUUUCGCAGACCGCACACAUCGGCCUCAUCCCCCUUCUCCUCUCAGACCUCGAAUCGGGGACACUCGACAUCGCACAGGGGCGCCACUAGUUCCGCCCCCUUGCUUCGGGUCUGUGUGCGUGAGCGUCACGUGGGUGAGCGAGUGUGCCCUUGCUAGCGGUAGUAGGACCUGAAGAUAGGGACGAGCGAGUUCGACGGCCUCUUCCUCCUUCCCCUCAGAACGAGUGGCAGCUACGCGCGUGGAUACCAAAAGUCAGACCUCUUCAUCCCGGCAUCCUUUUCAGGAGGAGGAAGAGACUCAGACCGCCUGCACUGUUUCUUUCCAAACGUGUUGAACUCGGCAUCACUUGUGUGCUCGGGGUGAUGAUCCGUAAGCUGCUCGCUUCCGUCUCCGCUGGCGGCGCGGAGGGCCGCCCGAGAGGCUUUCUCGCGCACUCGUGGGGCGUUGGGUGCGGUUUGCUGCUGCAUGUGCCAGUGAAAGUGACGGCAGUUGCGGGUGCCUCUGCGGAGAGGGCUGCCGCCUCCUGUUCCCUGGGCAACGCGCGCCGCUUCUACCUCGCCCCCUCGCGCAUCUGCAUGGAUGAAGCCUCGAGUACUGCAGGGCAGCAGCAACAGCAGACAUCGACUCCCGGUGGACCUGCGGGCGCCUCCUCCGCCUCUGCCAACGGCAGCGAGAGCGCUCUGGACGUUGCCAUGCGCGUCAACAAGAUGAAAAAGGCGCACCAGAGCGGCGGCGCCAACAAGAAGGAGGUGGAGCAGGAGGCGUGGCAUGCACUGAAUUCUCUGACCGAAGACCAAAUCAACAACGCCGAAGGGAAGGCAGUCUCGCUACUCCUGAACGCAUGGGCGUACUUUGCCAAGUUCUGGGCCAAAGGCAAGGAUGGCCCGUUGUGAGGGAUUUGAGCGCGUGUGUGGGGGGGGGGGUGCGGGCGCAGACGCGGUGCAAGGUAAGGAAAAACAAGAAGAAACAGAGAUCGCAGAGGCGGCGGUGGGCGCAGUCCCAGAUUAAGGCGUGCGAGCCGAGCGUGUGUCUGUGAAGGGGGAAGAGGGAGGCAGGGAGGAGCAAGAGAGAGAGGGUCUGCCCUCCCUCCCUCCCUCUCUCCCCUGACGCAUGCACGUCCACUAAGCACUCCAACAAAGGGGGAGAGACAAGGUUACGGAUGCACAGCACCGUGACCGCCCCCGCGCCCUUCGCCUUGACUGGCCGCACCCCUUCCAACCACCGCGUUGCGCGGUACCUUCAUUUUUUCCUUUUGGUGCUACGUUCGGCACUUUUCUUCAUAAGAGGCAGAACUAGGGGCGUAAGGCGGGUAAGGAGCGGGUGGCACACGGGUGCACGUACACAGUAGCUGGGCGGUAUUUUGCUGCCCCUUCCACCCUUUCUGCCUACGUCCUCUUCCACGCUCCGUACCCUCCAUUCAAUGCUUGUCUGUGAUGUGCGUGUCUCGUGGUCGUGGUGGCGGCGGUGGUAGUGGUGCUGCCCACCAUUUCCUCCUCGUCGUCGAAUGCGACUGCUUCUUCCCUUAUCGUCUCUGCGUGCUGUCGUUUUUUUUUUUUUCGCUGGCGUUGUAUUGAUGCUUAACGCUGAGAAGGGGCUCUAAGGCGGCUGGCUGGAUUAGAGGAUCAUGCGAGGCGCGCACACAGAGAUGCGCACACAGCGAAACGAAAAAAAAAUCAAACCAACCAACCGAUGCGCUGUCUAAUGCGUGCGCAUCUGUGCUCGGCUGCGACUGCAACACCGCCACAACAUUCCAAAACUUCGAAAGAGGGGGGCGCGUGGAUGCGAAAGGGAAGGUACGGAUCGGGAGUGCAGCCGCUUGUCUUCUUUCGUGCUUCUUUCUGCCCCCCCCAUCGUGCACCAGCCACCUCGCUGCUUUUUUUUUG